ensembl:lncRNA
GGGUGGAUUGUGUGCAUUCGCAGUAACAUUUUAUUUUAAAAAGCUCUUAAAACUAUAAAAAUGCUUUUAUUGUGAGCUCCUCGUGAGACUGCACGCGCUGAUGCAGCGGUGAUUUCUCUCUGGUCUUUCUCACUGUUCUGGCCAGACAUCAAUUAUUAAUGAGAUCUGACCCGGUAAUAAUAACAUAUGUUGGUUCAGCUUGUCAGUGUGAAUUAAAUGUGUAUUUAUUUGUCCGUUCUCGCCGAAAAACCAUCACCGUGUUCUGGAGCGCAGAGCAAUCGAUGUGAUGUUCAGCCCUUAGACAAAGAAAAUCUCACAAGCACUCAUAAACACUCAUUUUCAUCUCUAUAAUAUGUUCUUCUAAUUGUUUUGUGUUAAUUCGCCGCUGUGUUUUAAUGUAAAAGGCUGUAGUUUCUGUAUGUAGACUUUUUUCCCUUCAAGUGUUCAGAAGUCUCGCGCUGUCAGACAGGCAGCAGCAAAUAUUUAAUUUUAACACUCACAAACAUCUGAAUUUAGCUCUUGG